GAUGAACGCUGGCGGCGUGCCUAAUACAUGCAAGUCGAGCGAACAGACGAGGAGCUUGCUCCUUCGACGUUAGCGGCGGACGGGUGAGUAACACGUAGGUAACCUACCUAUAAGACUGGGAUAACUUCGGGAAACCGGAGCUAAUACCGGAUAAUAUUUCGAACCGCAUGGUUCGAUAGUGAAAGAUGGCUUUGCUAUCACUUAUAGAUGGACCUGCGCCGUAUUAGCUAGUUGGUAAGGUAACGGCUUACCAAGGCAACGAUACGUAGCCGACCUGAGAGGGUGAUCGGCCACACUGGAACUGAGACACGGUCCAGACUCCGACGGGAGGCAGCAGUAGGGAAUCUGCCGCAAUGGGCGAAAGCCUGACGGAGCAACGCCGCGUGAGUGAUGAAGGUCUUCGGAUCGUAAAACUCUGUUAUUAGGGAAGAACAAACGUGUAAGUAACUGUGCACGUCUUGACGGUACCUAAUCAGAAAGCCACGGCUAACUACGUG
rnacentral:rRNA from 1 species